rnacentral:pre_miRNA from 1 species
CCGCUCGUCAAAGGGCUGUGAAAUGAAACAUUGGAAUGCAUAUCACAGCCAGCUUUGAUGAGCGGAA